GUGGGGAAUAUUGGGCAAUGGGCGAAAGCCUGACCCAGCAACGCCGCGUGAGGGAAGAAGGCCUUCGGGUUGUAAACCUCUGUCCUUGGUGACGAAAAAAAUGACGGUAGCCAAGGAGGAAGCCCCGGCUAACUACGUGCCAGCAGCCGCGGUAAUACGUAGGGGGCGAGCGUUGUCCGGAAUUACUGGGCGUAAAGGGUGCGUAGGUGGCCUUUUAAGUUGGAUGUGAAAUACCCGGGCUUAACUUGGGGGGUGCAUCCAAAACUGGGAGGCUAGAGUGCAGGAGAGGAAAGCGGAAUUCCUAGUGUAGCGGUGAAAUGCGUAGAUAUUAGGAGGAACACCAGUGGCGAAGGCGGCUUUCUGGACUGUAACUGACACUGAGGCACGAAAGCGUGGGGAGCAAACAGGAUUAGAAACCCGAGUAGUCC
rnacentral:rRNA from 1 species